AAUAGAUACCCAGGUAGUCCACGCUGUAAACGAUGAAUACUAGGUGUAGGGGGCGAAGCCCUCUGUGCCGCAGUUAACACAUUAAGUAUUCCGCCUGGGGAGUACGAUCGCAAGAUUAAAACUCAAAGGAAUUGACGGGGGCCCGCACAAGCAGCGGAGCAUGUGGUUUAAUUCGAAGCAACGCGAAGAACCUUACCAAGGCUUGACAUCCAAAGAAUCCUCUAGAGAUAGGGGAGUACCCUUCGGGGAACUUUGAGACAGGUGGUGCAUGGUUGUCGUCAGCUCGUGUCGUGAGAUGUUGGGUUAAGUCCCGCAACGAGCGCAACCCUUGUCAUUAGUUGCUACCAUUAAGUUGAGCACUCUAAUGAGACUGCCGAGGUUAACUCGGAGGAAGGUGGGGAUGACGUCAAAUCAUCAUGCCCUUUAUGUCUUGGGCUACACACGUGCUACAAUGGCUGGUACAGCGAGAAGCGAACCCGCGAGGGGAAGCAAAUCUUACAAAACCAGUCCCAGUUCGGAUUGCAGGCUGC
rnacentral:rRNA from 1 species